rnacentral:rRNA from 1 species
CAGGACUCCCUUAGUAAUGGCGAAUGAGCAGGGAUGAGCUCAACAUGGAAAUCGUAGCUUCUGGCUAUGAAUUGUAAUUUCAAGAUGUAUCGCUAACGGUGGCGCAGAUGUAAGCCUCUUGGACAAGAGCAAUCGUCGAGGGUGAGAAUCCCGUUUGUCAUCUGCAGCCCGCCGUGUUCGGCACACGAUCUUAAAGUCACGUUCCUCGGGAUUGGAGCGCAAACUGGGUGGUAAAUUUCAUCUCAGGCUACAUAUGAGUUCGAGACCGAUAGCAAACAAGUACCAUGAGGGAAAGAAGAAAAGGACUUUGAACAGAUAGUUAAAAGUGCCUGAACUUGCUGAAAGGAAAGCGGAUGGAACCACUCACCCUUGGCGAGAUUGUUGUGCGCCCCAGUGACUGUCCGUUGUGCCAGCGCAAGCGGCUUCGCGGAUCUCGAUCUGGCAGCGUGCGAUGCUUCUUGCCUUGCGCGUCACUGACUGGGUGCGGGCGGGGAUACCUCCGGGGACAUGGCAUCGCAACUUCGGGGGCGCGAAUGUGCUUGCUCUCAUGCGGUGCACUCUGGCUUCAGAUCGCGGUGCGAUCCCGCGUGCGUUGCCCGCGGGGGCACCCUUCUGAUGCUCCCCAGUGGCGAAAUGGUUCCAUUCGACCCGUCUUGAAACACGGACCAAGGAGUCUAACAUAUGUGCGAGUUCUUGGGUGUCAAACCUACGUGCGCAAUGAAAGUGAGUACUGAGAUGUUAGCAUCAGCAGCCGACCGAUCGAUUUGGGAGAGGUUUGAGCAUUAGCAUAUCUGUUCGGACCCGAAAGAUGGUGAACUAUGCCUGAGAAGGGCAAAGUCUGGGGAAACUCAGAUGGAGGCUCGUAGCUGUACUCACGUGCAAAUCGUUCGUCAUACUUGGGUAUAGGGGCGAAAGACUAAUCGAACCAUCUAGUAGUAGCUGGUUCCCUCCGAAGUUUCCCUCAGGAUAGCUGGAGUUGAAUAGUUUUAUCAGGUAAAGCGAAUGAUUAGAGGAAUCGGGGGCGCGUUGCCCUCGACUUGUUCUCAAACUUUAAAUGGGUAAGCUCCAGUUGUUACUUCGUUGAACUUCUGGGAUAAAUUGCGAUUCUAAGUUGGCCAUUUUUGGUAAGCAUAACUGGCGAUGAGGGAUGUACCUAACGUUGGGAUAAGGUGCUUAACUGCUCGCUCAUCAGAUACCAUAAAAGGGUGUUGGUUCAUUUUAACAGCAGGACGGUGGUCAUCGAAGUCGAAAUCCGCUAAGGAGUGUGUAACAACUCACCUGCCGAAUGGACUAGCCCCGAAAAUGGAUGGCGCUUAAGCGGGUGGCCGAUACCCAACCAUUGCCGCAAUUGUGCCGCGGCAAUGAGUAGGAGGGCGUGGAGG